rnacentral:lncRNA from 1 species
CCACUUUCGGCUCACUACUGGUGCCCAUAGCUUCUGUACUAAAAGGCUGAAAACAAAAACAGAGCACUAUACUAUGCAAAUUUUCGACUACACUAAAUUCUAAACUAGAAUUCAACUAAAAGCGUAAUUUCAAGAAAGGCAUAGGAAUCAACAGCAUUUUACUAAUCGCAACUAUUAACACACAGUUGCAGAGACUUUAGUACAAGAAUUGUCUUCGUUUAGCAUCAAACAGCAAGAAAUCGAAGGGUAUUACAACAAAGCGAAAGAUAACGACAAAACAGAAGAUGUACGAAGCCUUGAUGAUGACAAUAACUUCAAGGUCAACGUUUAGUCCUCCAGAAUUUGUUGUUGCUCAAGCUCAAUGAUGUUUUCGGUCAUUGAGCUAACAGUGCCAUUAAUGGUCUCGUUAGUACACUGGCACAGAUGUAAUUGUUCCUUAAGACUCUGCACGAGCUCAUUGAGUCUCUGGAUGUUCUUCUCUUGUGACAAGAUAAUCUGCUCGAGUAGAUAAUAUAGGACAAAACUUGUUUAUGUUCACUAAGCUUAGAAAUAAAUAAAAGUUACUCAAGUCACGCUAAAAAGUCAGGGAAAGAUUCAUCCAGUAACAUGCUUCAGGUAAAAAAUCAUUUUUAGUUCCUCUCGUGAAUCAAAGCCAUUUAAAUAUCCAACCCGUGUCGCCCUUGAUAUGUUGGUUUAUCCUUUAAUUUUUUCAAAACCUAGUAAAGAUGCUCGAUCCAAAUCCUACCCUUUUCAACUAAUAUUUUCUUAAUUGUUCUUUUUACUUCUAUGGUCAGGAGCCUGAAACAUUACACGCGCAUUUCUCAGUACACUUCAUGGUUAUAGUUCCACCAAAAUUCCUUGGGAUAUGUUACCCGAGCAAGAUUCUACAAUUGUAAGUGCAACAGGACCUUGUCUUGGGGGACUACAGCAUUUUGGCUAAGCUUCUAAGUGCUUGUUUAGCAGGGCUUUUGAAAAGCCAAAAACUGCAUCUGAGACUAAGAAGACGGUUCUGGAUUUGUUUGGAUAAUUUCUUGGAAGUUAUUUGAUGAGAAGAACUUUUAGAGGAAGCUGAUCCAAGAUAGCAUCACUAGGAAGCUCUUCCAUACAAAACAGAAGUCCUACCAAACAGACCUUAAAUGAUUUUUCGUUCCCAGACAUUUUCGGAAAAGUUUUCUUAAUAUAUGUAAAUAGGUUGCUCAUUUUGAUAAUAAAGUAAGAGUUCAUUUCAUAUAAAUAACUACUUAUUUUCAACUUUGACCAACAAAAUAUUUAAUUUAUUUUCAAACUUACCUAUUGUAGACUUUUUAAGCUUAGCCAAACAUUCACACGUCAAACAUAACAGAGGUGAUCUGCUGCUCACCAAAUAAGACCUUCCUAAUUCAGGAAUGACAUAAUAAGACCUUCCUAAUUCCAAACUCGGGCACCAACUUUAUACUAAAGCCAAUAAUGAUUGCAAUAACUGCUGGGGAUAUGAGAUAUUCAGUUAUGCCUCUAUCAUGUCAUUUAAAUAGCGGCAAACCAUGAUACUCGAUCUGUCCCAAAAGGACAGUUUUGCUAAUACGGUAGCAUCAUUAUUCAACCCUAUUUCAUUUGAACAUAACUGUAUUUAUUACAACUAAUCUAUAAAUGGAAGGUGUAAUACAAGAGGAAUGUUGAUAUGUGAAAGUGUCAAUUGCUAACAAGCACUAACUGAUUUAUAUUACAACAAACAACAAGCCAAGUAUAAGUUUCGGAUUGGAUUCUGCCACAAUGCCACUCCUUUCUAUAUAUCAAAUGAAACCCUUCACAACCAUAUAAAGCCGUGUGUCUGAGGACAAAGAAUAUAUUAUUGUACAAAACCCAGUUCAAUACUUUUUACUCUCUACAGUCAGACGAACCUGCUACUCUUCUUCCUAUGUUUAAGUGGCUCACUAAACACAGAGGCCUUACCCUUUAUGCUUCUUGAUAGUUCUGAAGCAUUAAUAUAAAGAUACAUUUAUUGCAAUUUUUCUAAGCUGCUUUAUGUCAAUCAAGAAUUGCUGAUCUCUCUGCUGUAAAACCAUUUGUGAGCAUUCCUCUCUCUUAUGUUACUCCUCCAUAAAACACCACACUUAUCAAGUGUCCUAAAUCCUACUGCAAUAUUAUGGAACAGUUUAAAAGUAUGAUCAACAUUUACAGAUCAACCAAAUGUUAACAAAUGCUCAUACAUAAGAUACAUCUAGUACCAGGAGGACGUGCUCCUUGUAGGGAAUGUCAAUGAAUUAGGAAAGGAGCAUCAAUGGAAUUUUAUAGCUUAGAACAUCACAGCUAUAUAUAUAGAGCAUCUUUUAUCAUAAAGUGGAUUCGUAGAAGACUUCUUAAUAUUUUAGAUACUCAAUCUUUAUCCUCAGAAGAACUCUCUACCCCAUUGGUUACAUUGAAUACCAAGGAAUAAAAAAUUAAAUUAAAUUAAAUUAAAAAAAAAAAAAGUUAAAAUGAAGAUAACAUCCUGAAAAGAAGCAGAUGUUCUAAAAUGAAGUUCCUUAUAUUUGCAAUAAAAAAUAUAUAUAUAUAUUAACAGAAAAAGUGAGUGAUGCAUGGUACCACAAUGGUUUAAGACAUUGCCAAAUUUGUCAGCACUUAAUGCAAAUUCAAGACAUACGCCUUUUGAAACAUUCAUUUUACAACAUUAUCUAAACCAAUGUAGUCUGCAAGUAAAGUACAGUAGGCAUUUGGUUAUAAUAAGCCCUUUUUCUUCUCGUGAACCAUGGAGCACCUAGCCCAGAAACUCUCAUCAAAUACAUACAUGUAUUCUUGAACAUUUUUUUUUCUUUUGUUCUUUUUUUUU